AUACGUAGGAGGCAAGCGUUAUCCGGAUUCACUGGGCGUAAAGCGCACGCAGGCGGUUAUGUAAGUCGGACGUGAAAGCUCCUGGCUCAACUGGGAGAGGUCGUUCGAUACUGCAUAGCUUGAGGUUGGGAGAGGGAAGCGGAAUUCCCGGUGUAGUGGUGGAAUGCGUAGAUAUCGGGAGGAACACCAGUGGCGAAAGCGGCUUCCUGGCCCAUACCUGACGCUCAGGUGCGAAAGCGUGGGGAGCGAACGGGAUUAGAUACCCCGGUAGUCCACGCUGUAAACGAUGCGAACUAGGUGUUGGUAGUAUUAAUCCUAUCAGUGCCGUAGCUAACGCGAUAAGUUCGCCGCCUGGGGACUACGGCCGCAAGGCUAAA
rnacentral:rRNA from 1 species